GCUGGAGAUGUUAGAAAGUAGAUAUAGGCUUAUUGUAAUGAAUCGAUCUGUCUUUAAGUGAAAGGAGGGUCAGCGGGCAGAAGUGCUGGGAGGCGUUCCUCCGACCUCAGCCUGUCCUCGCGCUCAAUCCAUCCAUCCAUCAAUCGGUCAACUAGUCAGUCAGCUGGAGAGAGAGGCAGAGAACCGAGCGGAGAGAACAUGUACAGUUUGAAUUUCGGCUUGAACUAGAAGCGUUGGAGGAGUGAAGUGAAAGGAGGGUCAGCGGGCAGAAGUGCUGGGAGGCGUUCCUCCGACCUCAGCCUGUCCUCGAGCGCUGCCAGCUGUUUCCUCGCGCUCAAUCCAUCAGUCAAUCGGUCAACUAGUCAGUCAGCUGGAGAGAGAGGCAGAGAACCGAGCGGAGAGAACAUGUACAGUUUGAAUUUCGUCUUGAACUAGAAGAUUCCAUCCAUCCAUCAUCCAUCCAUCAUCCAUUAUCCAUCCAUCAUCCAUCUAUCAUCCA